rnacentral:ncRNA from 1 species
CAGAAACUGAAGAGCAAGAGUAGUAAGUAAAAAAGGGUAUUCCAGAGAGCCGCUAGAUGGUGGAAAUGCGGUAAUACACGAUUUUUCCGAAUGGACUUGCGAGGGCGGCUUGAAACCGAAUGGGAGUAGAUGCCGACGGGAACCCUGUCCGUUAUCAGUGGGGUACGCAUGAUGGUGCGUAAAAAAAGUGGGUAAAUCGGAAAUGAUUUAUCAAUUUGGGUGGUACCGCAGAAGUGAAAGCUUUUGUCCCUUUC